UUCCUCACGGACAUCGGGCCGCGUGACGCGAACGCCAUCGCGACGCCAAACGUCGUUCAAGUGAGAUUUGCGACUACAGUCGUGGGCGAAUAGAGGUCGAUGACCCCGCGCCCCCAAUAGUAUUCCGUAUCCCAGAGCCCGAGCAAAGAAACAUGGGCCGCAACACAUCUCCACUUUGGGCGUGUUGAGGAACACGAUUCUCGCUUCGAGGUUCACCCGAGGCCGCGCUGUAAGAACAGACAGAUCUAGGCGAACGAGAAUUAUCGACGAAAGAUUACCAUCUAAGCAGGUACGCAACACAGGAAACCAGUUGGACGGCCAAGGCUAUACUGCACUUGUGCCUAGAACUGAAGGGAAUAGCAAGGUUGGACGUCACUGCCCAAGACAGUGA
rnacentral:misc_RNA from 1 species